ACAGAUAAAUAAACACAAUCCACGUUAAUAUCCUCAGCCAGCGUUUACAUAAAAGAUGGGAGCGGGCUGUAGCAUAGGCUAUUGCAAGGGACGAUGUGCUGACUGAGAUGAAUGUGCAGGGUCCGAACAGGGUCUCUUUUUUGUGAAAAUUACAGCUUUUGUAGAUCAAGCCCCUGGUGGGGAGCCAAUACAACCAGCGUCUUUGUUCAGGUGAAAUUCCUCACCGUUAUCUCAACCCACCGCCAACAACCCACUCCCCGCCCCGUUCGCUAGCCGCUAGUGCUUUAAUUAGGGGUCCUCGAAACCCACUCCGGGCCCGCCGACAUGACUACUCUCAUGCAGCAGGUAAUAGAGGGCAACAGUUGGGUUCCGGAAAUUUAAAAAAAAAGUCCAUUCAUUAUCUCCAUAGGGAAGUUGAUUUUUUUUAGCGAUAACUUCUGUAGGCUUUAUGCCGAAUGCCACAAACAGGAAAACAGGUCUCAUUGCAUCCGCUUGUUGGAGAAGGUGUUACUGGUAAUAUGAACUGAUGGUGAUAUCUAUAGACUUUUAUGGUAAUCAGCUAACCUAACUAGUUAUUUUUAUUGUUGGUGUUUUAUUGUAUUUAAAUAUCUAAAUGUCAGUGAGAAUAAGGAAAAUAAAAAAACUUUUAGAUAUCAAUCUGCAUAUGUGAUAGACAUUGGUUAUGCUUAUCUUUGCUCGCUCCUUUGAAGGUAUCUUGAGUAAAACGACUAUGUUUAAUGUAGGGCUGAGGGAAAUGGCCAAAAAUAUUAUUAAGAUAUUUUUUCCAUAUUAUACAGUAUCGAUAUUUAUCACAAUAUUCAUUUAACGUUAAUGGAGAAAGAAAUGAUUUCCACAUAUUUGUCAGACCUUGAGAAUGAAUGUAAACAUAAACUUGUUUGUUCACAAUUAAACUACAAAGUAGCCUCAUUUUAUUUUUCCCUAAAUGCUGUGUUUUCAAUUUGAUUUUUUCUGGAUUCUGUGUUUUAUGAUUUAAUACAAAUUUAUCAUUAAAAUUGGGUGUCUAAUUAAUGGGUGUCUUGUUUUGAUGUCCUUCAGGGAGGAUCAAGCUUUCUUUAGGGGUGUCAUACCCCCCCCCCCAAACCCCCCUGUAAAUCACACCCUGGUUUCAUGUCUUUAUAUUUUAAUGCAUUUAAGUCAAACUAUUGAGUGUUAUAUCGAACAUUUUUUCCAUCGUUAUUGAUAAAAGUAUAACAUUGAUAAACACAGAUACCGUUUUAUCACCCAGGCUUUAAAGAAGCACAUACAAAAGACCUGAACCGUAAGCGAUGCAACCUGUUUUACAGAAUAUGGAAGUUUGUUAUAACCCCCAUUAUGAGCUCCAAGGUUGUUAAUAAUGGUAUAUGCCUUUGUUGAAACCAUCUGUUCACAUGAUUUCAGCUCAUUUAAAAAAAAAAAAAAAAAAUUGUUUAAAAAUCAAAUAAAUGUUGUCAUCGUUUUUAAUUUAUUCACAAUGCAUCAUGGGAUUGUAGUUCUUUUCCUCAUUAAAGCCAUUAAGUACAAAAUCUUGCACCUUUUUGUCUGAUUUUCAAAUAUUUUUUUGCUUCAAAUCAAAGUUUGUAAUGUUGUGAUUCACCUUGGAGCUGGCUGGCUUUAUUAUAAUUUUUUUAAAUCCCCAUGAGAAAAAUGAAUGAAAAAGUACUUCUGGAACCAACAUAUUUGAAGAAGUGGGCAGGCACUAAUGCAUUCUAUACUGCACCAGAAUCACUCAACGCGUGUUGCGGGCGGUCAGAGCCGAGCCGACACGGCUUCGUAUUUUGGUCAUAACUGCCCGUCUGGAGGGUUCUGACCGAAGCCUGACACAUCUCAUCAGAGCUCAGACACACUAGAGGCUGCUCUAAAAGCGGCCAGAGCAAGAGAGAGGAGGUCAAACAUUCAUUUUACACUGCCUUUACACACACUGACAGAUGCUGUCUGCUUUGAUCUAUCUUUAGCCAAUCCACUCCUAUCUGAGGGCCUCUGUCCGGAAAGCCGCUUAGAACUUGCUGCCUCUCCUAUGCCCAAUGGCACCGCACGGUCGAGCUGUGCAUGCGGCGUGCAUCCAACGAGAGGGGGGAAGGGUGAUUGGAAUUCAUUCAAACCAACAGCACCCGUAGGUGAAAUCGCCAGACUUGAAAGCAUACGUGACGCCUGAUCCUUUAGGACGUGGCGCUGUAAAAACCGGCCCAGGUGAUUUACAAGCCCCAUCUCCGCGUACAAGAGCCUUCAAGAGCCACCCUCCCCCAACAGCCGGCUGUCCUGCUCAUGUCAUAAAACACCAGCUGCGGACAGAGAAACACCGCUGUCAGCAAAGCAGAACAGGAGUAAAUACACACAGAACAAAUUGAUGUGGACCCUUGUGACAACCAAAAUGAUUCAUGAUGGCUUAAAUUUGCAGAGGACUGGGGAUGCAACAGUACAAGACGUGAGCAAGGCUCAGAGCAGCUGCCCAUGUCAUUAUUGCUCUACACAGCUUUUAUCAUUCCCAUAAAUCUGGUUCUGCAGAGUCCCAUAAAAUGGCAACCUGUGAGUGUCUGGCACUCCGAAAACCCCGUGGAGAGGGAGAGGGAGAGAUCGAGACGGAAAGAAAGAAGGAGAACCAUGGGAGCUGUUAACCUGACUAAUGGCAAACUCCACUUGUGCGAAAGCCCAGCGGACUUCAUGACCGCGUUUACUGCUGCUACUGAUGAGUAAACAGAGGUGAAAAAACAGAAACUUGGCAUAAUCAGUUUCAAAAAUGAUGACAACAAUACAUACUCAGUUUAAGUGCUGAGUAGUUUGGACUUGAGUUCUACAGGAAAGCAACUAACACAGUGUCCUAACCACCAGGCACAAAGCAGUGAAGAGACAUGCAACAUUUAAACUUUGGCGUAGGCCCCGUCCAUAGUACAAUCCGGAGGGUAGCAGACGUUUGCAGAUCCUGCCUGAAGAUGAACGCCGGCGAUGGUAUCUGCGAACACGAUAGUGGGUGGGAACAGAACUUAUAUACUUAGGUGACGUGUAAUGAUUGGUUAGAAAAUGAGCAAUGACGUGCAUUAGAGUCUUACGGGUAGAACUUCCGCUAAACGCUCCCAUUUCUAAUUCAUUUGGGUAUAUUUCAAUUAUCCAUUCAAUAGUCCAUUUUGCUUGUAUAUGAAAUAAAUUUGGUGCUCAAGAAAAUGUCUUAUUAUCAAUGGCAGUUCAAACAGUUGUGCAGCUUAAUAUUUUUGAGGAAACUGUGAUACAUUUUUCAGCAUUCUUUGAUUAAUAGAAAGCUCAAAAGAUCAGCUUUUAUUUGAAAUUGAAAUCUUUUGUAACAAUGGAAAAGUCUUUACUGUCACUUUUUAUCAAUUUAAUGCAUUCUUGCUGAAUAAAAAAAUCCUAAUGCAAAUCCUAAUGCAAAAAUCCAAUUUUACGAAGCGACGCAAGUGCUUUUUUGGUUUGCGCAAAAAAACAUUACCACUUUAUUUACAAAAUGGUAAUCUCCAAUGCUCAUUCAUGCAGUGUCUGCUCUUGCAUCAACACAACACACAUGAGUCUUGGUGCUCUCGUGAACGUGUUGGAGAUUAAUAUUUUGAAAAUAAAGUGGGGCUUGAAAGUGGUAGUUGCAUAGGCUGUCAAUGAAGGGACAGAAAGCUUUCAGAUUUCAUUAAAAAGAUCUUCAUUUGUGUUACGGAGAUGAACGAAAGCUUUGUAACGACAUGAGGGUGAGUAAUUAAUGACAGAAUUUUUAUUUUUGUGUGAACUAACUCUUGAAGGUCUGGCUACACAAGACUAGCCAUUAGUGGCUAAUAUUUGUUGCAACAUUGAAACUUAAAGCAAAGACGUGAAACAUUUAAAACAACACCCAAAUUCAAAUAUCAAUAGCAAUAUUGCUGCCAGUUGCUGCUCAUAAACCUUACAGAAACUCACAUGUGAACAAUACCGGCUUCCACUACAGCAUAUGCUACUUUUAUCAGCUGAUCUCAUUUCACACUCAGCCUUCAAAUCCAUCACAGGGACAGGUAAGAUAACUGAGAAAACAAAGAGCUCAGGAAUAAUAUUGCUUCCAAGGGUAACGACAGAGUCCUGCAAUUGUGGGAAAGGAAACACCUCAUAUAAUGCUCAGGACAUUCUUAAAAAUAGGAAAAUGACUGCUUUCCUUCAAGGCUCAGUGGUCUUCUGUUGUAUGCUUUUAGCGUCGUGUUAACAACUGAACUCUCUCACCCCAUACUCAAAACACACAGCUGAUGUCAGUAUGAUAAUGUUGCGUGAGCAAUGACGUGUGUCUGCCAGACCAAACAAAAGAUCUGACACAUUCAAUGUACUUUGGCCCAAAGCAGAGUGAGCUAAGACAUCAUAACAACAGGUUGAGGUCAUCCUGCAACCUCGUUUGCAACAAAGCUAUCAUGCUACGGUAAAUACUACUUAAGAUUAACAUUUCAGGACACCUACACUGAGUUCUUAAAAGUGGUGACAUCUUUAUAUCCCUCUGUCCUAUGCGGAAAACCAGUUAAAGGGAGCCUCCACUACUGCACAUCAUCAUUGCCUAAAUUAGCGGUUUUUAAAUGUUCCUACUUGACCCAAUACAGAAACAAAGUUUUUUUUCCUCCACUCACACAAAAGUACAUAAAAAUGUCUUUAAAAAUCAAACAAUUAAAUUACCCUUAAUAUAAACACAAUAAAUUUAAAUAUGAAUAAUAUAAAUUAUUAUGAAUAAUAAAUAAAUUAUAUAUCUCAGCAUAUAAUAAAUCACAGGACAAAUAUGUUUAUCCUCAUUGCAAGUGAACUCUGUAAUAGUCUGUGACAUAUUUUCUUUCACAUUACAUAAUUUUGUUCAUGUUUUUUAAGGAUGAAAGUAUGUCAUGCAAUCUGUUCAUGUUGUCAUCUUCUUACCAGAAAUAAUUUCACAAAUUCAGACUAAACUUUUGGGCCACAACCAUUGACCUGAGAACCCUUCCUUGGUUCAGUCUGGCUACAAGAUUUCUAAAGAGGCACAUGCACAUAAUAUCUUUGUUUCCUUCAGUUUAACGCAAUAAUUUAUCUAAAAAAACAUUUUAAAUUAAUUAAGUUUAAAUAAUUCAUUGGUUGGUGGUUGAAAGGUUGCAAUCAGGCUGUCAUUUUGGCACCACAUAGGGUGUGUUCACACUUGACAUGUUUGCUUCGAUUAAAACUAACUCUGGUGUGAUUGCUGUGUUAUUGCGGUUCAUUUGAUUAAGUGUGAACGCUGCCAUAAAAACCCUUGCGCGCACCAAACAAGUGGACCGAGACCCCUGAAAGGGUGGGUGCGGUUUGACUGAAAUAUGAAAUCAACACGGUCCAAAGACAUUUAAACGAACCAAAAACACUCCAAAAAGGACAGAAUGUUGAAGCAUGCCUGUUUUUUCCUGUUUUCUCAUCAUAGGGGUUGUCCAUUACAGUUUGGUACAGGUGUCAGAAACACAUUCUCUUCACGAGUUCUCAGCCGGUCAAAAUACCAUCAUAUGUACUUUUUUUUUGCAUCUUUAGGUUCGGUCUUUAAAAUGACAGUGUGAACGUUAAGCGAACCAGGACUAAAUGUAUCGUUUUCUUUUCUGAUCCGGACCGAAACAACCAAGAGAACCAAACUACAAGUGUGAACACACCCUUAGAUUUAAGCCAGCAAUUAAACUUGAGUUAUUAAUUUUAGUGGGUUAACCUUUUAAAAUUAUCUUGAGCUGUCUGCAUCUAUUAUCAUGAACAGUUCAAGGAUCUCCAGCAAAUUUAUCAAUUUACUAAAUGUUUCUGGUUAGGAAGUGAAUUUUAAAAUUUAAAGUAUAUAUUGUGAUGGGGAAAGUUGAAAAAAUGGAAACGUGCCCACUAGGGUUGGUCAAUGUCUACCAAAUUGGCAUCAGAUGAUGUCUACAGUGAAACAUCACGUUGGACCAUGACAUCGGGGUGGGGGGUUCACAUUUGUGUUAACCUCAACUUCCAAUGGAAUGAAUUAAAAAUGCUCAUUUUGCUCCGCGCCAGUGGACACGCACCGUUAAUGUGGCAAAAGAGAGAACAGGCACAGAGUUGAAAGGGCUUGAAUGAAGCGAGUUUGGCUUUAGAUAAAACUACUAGAAGUUAUAGCACUUAUUACCACGUACGAUCCUGAGUGCUUGUGGUGUGAUCAGCACCACCGUUUUGAUGCACUGCUCACUUCAACUAGAAACAGUGAAAUGGUGCUACCGUUCUGUCUAGCAAUCCGGAUGGAGACAUGGCCCGCCAUUUGAAUA